ACCCAGCUCACGAGUCCUAAAUAGAACAAAACGCGCGUCCUGGAU
rfam:Schistosoma curassoni strain Dakar, Senegal genome assembly, scaffold: SCTD_scaffold0003153